GAUGAACGCUGGCGGCGUGCCUAAUACAUGCAAGUCGAGCGAACGGACGAGAAGCUUGCUUCUCUGAUGUUAGCGGCGGACGGGUGAGUAACACGUGGAUAACCUACCUAUAAGACUGGGAUAACUUCGGGAAACCGGAGCUAAUACCGGAUAAUAUUUUGAACCGCAUGGUUCAAAAGUGAAAGACGGUCUUGCUGUCACUUAUAGAUGGAUCCGCGCCGCAUUAGCUAGUUGGUAAGGUAACGGCUUACCAAGGCAACGAUGCCUAGCCGACCUGAGAGGGUGAUCGGCCACACUGGAACUGAGACGCGGUCCAGACUCCUACGGGAGGCAGCAGUAGGGAAUCUUCCGCAAUGGGCGAAAGCCUGACGGAGCAACGCCGCGUGAGUGAUGAAGGUCUUCGGAUCGUAAAACUCUGUUAUUAGGGAAGAACAUAUGUGUAAGUAACUGUGCACGUCUUGACGGUACCUAAUCAGAAAGCCACGGCUAACUACGUG
rnacentral:rRNA from 1 species